rnacentral:rRNA from 1 species
AGAGUUUGAUCCUGGCUCAGGAUGAACGCUAGCGACAGGCUUAACACAUGCAAGUCGAGGGGCAGCGGGGGCGAAGCUUGCUUCGCCUGCCGGCGACCGGCGCACGGGUGAGUAACACGUAUGCGACCUGCCCCCCGCAGGGGGAUAACCGGGAGAAAUCCCGACUAAUACCGCGUAACGCCGCUGGGCUGCAUGGCCCGGCGGCCAAAGGAAGCGAUUCCGGCGGGGGAUGGGCAUGCGGCGCAUUAGCUAGUCGGCGGGGUAACGGCCCACCGAGGCGACGAUGCGUAGGGGUUCUGAGAGGAAGGUCCCCCACACUGGUACUGAGACACGGACCAGACUCCUACGGGAGGCAGCAGUGAGGAAUAUUGGUCAAUGGGCGGGAGCCUGAACCAGCCAAGUCGCGUGAGGGAAGACGGUCCUACGGAUUGUAAACCUCUUUUGCCGGGGAGCAACGGGGUCCUUGCGAGGGCCCGAUGAGAGUACCCGGAGAAAAAGCAUCGGCUAACUCCGUGCCAGCAGCCGCGGUAAUACGGAGGAUGCGAGCGUUAUCCGGAUUUAUUGGGUUUAAAGGGUGCGUAGGCGGGCUGUUAAGUCAGCGGUCAAAUGUCGGGGCUCAACCCCGGCCUGCCGUUGAAACUGGCGGCCUCGAGUGGGCGAGAAGUAUGCGGAAUGCGUGGUGUAGCGGUGAAAUGCAUAGAUAUCACGCAGAACUCCGAUUGCGAAGGCAGCAUACCGGCGCCCGACUGACGCUGAGGCACGAAAGCGUGGGUAUUUAAAAGGGUUAGAUACCCUGGUAGUCCACGCAGUAA